AUUGGAUCCAUAGGGCAAGUGCAUAAAGAUUUAAAAAAAAAAAAAAGUGGGAAGAGACAGUGACACCAGGAGAGGUCCAAGGACAAAACCUUGGGGAAACGUGACACGUAGAAGUUAGGCAGAGAAAUAAAUCAGAAAGGGAAAGUGAAUAGUGACCAGAGGGAAAGGAGACCUGGAGAGAGCUGGUGGGGGGGGGGGNUCCCAGAGAUGUCAGGAAACAAUGUUUAGGAAGCAGGAGGGGAGUGCUCAAUUGUGUCAGAGUCUAAGACGAUUUCUAUCAUACCCACCAAGAGUUUCAUAGUGAAGUGAACCUGACUUUGCCUCCGAGCUUUGGGUAGGAGUAGCAACUGACACAACCUCUCCAAGAUUCCGAUCCAACUUCCUUUAAUUGGAGAAGAGCACUUAUCUCUUUCUCACAGGGCUAAAAUGCUUCACCUGGUGCUGACUGCAGAAAGCCCUCACCAAUGAUACCACCACCACUAUCAGGGAAAAUGAGAGAUGUGAUACACAAUUGUUCAAAAUACAGAGAUGCCUACUCUGAAAAAAUAAAGUCAUAAGAUUCUGCAGCAUUUAAUACUUUAAAGACAGAAGAUUGUGUGACUUCAAAAACAGUGAAAUUAUAGAUACCUGGAAAUGAGCAGCCUUUGUGUUGGAAGACAGGUAACUGGAAAUCAGAAGCUUUACGUACGGCUGGGUGAGGGACUUUAAAAUGAACAAAAACGAUGUUCAAACAAAGGGAUCUUGAGGACGCCUGUAUAAACAACAUCUUUACUUUAUGGAGAGGCCGAAUGUCUUAUGCAGAUCCCAUGUAGGCUAUUCAUAAAGGGAGGAGGUUUACAAUUCAGAAUCAAACCUAAAGUCACCAAGGCAGAAAAAGACACUCUUCCUUUGGUAAGACUUCACUCACUAUUCUAGAUUCUGAGUUAACAAAGGACUCUGAGAUUUUUAUGAGAAAACCUGAAAAUUCACAAAGAAAUUAAAAGACUGUUAAUUUCCAAGUGUAAAA
rnacentral:lncRNA from 1 species